rnacentral:rRNA from 1 species
UAUCUCUGUAGAGUCUGCAUAUCAAUAAGCGGAGGAAAAGAAACUAACUAGGAUUCCCUCAGUAAGCGGCGAGUGAAGCGGGAAGAGCUCAAACUUGAAAUCUUCAAGGUUCUACCUUGAGCGAAUUGUAGUUUAAAGAAGUGUUUUCUGUUGGAGUUUUGGUAAAAGUUCUUUGGAAUUAGGACAUCAUAGAGGGUGAGAAUCCCGUAUUUGACCAUUAUUUCCAGCUUUGUGAUACACUUUUAAAGAGUCGGAUUGUUUGGGAAUGCAGUCCAAAAUGGGUGGUAAAUUUCAUCUAAAGCUAAAUACUGGCGAGAGACCGAUAGCGAACAAGUACCGUGAGGGAAAGAUGAAAAGAACUUUGAAAAGAGAGUUAAACAGUACGUGAAAUUGUCAAAAGGGAAGCGUUUGACACCAGUGUUGUUUUCUCGAAAAUCAAUUAAAAAAGGCAGGAUUUUGUGUUGUAUUGACUUUAUCAGCUUUCUGCACGCUUUUCUUGUCUUUUUUUAAUGCACUUUUCGUUUAACAAGUCAACAUCAAUUUCUUUUGUUGUAAAAGGGUCAUUGGAAGGUGGCUUUCUUUUCGGAGAAAGUGUUUAUAGCCUUUGGCCUCUGCAAUCGGAGAGAUUGAGGUCUGCAGCGUAGAUCCUUCGGGGUUAGAUACAUUUGUGCUAAGUUAUAGCCUUUCAUAGACAACUUGUUGACUAUGAUCAGUCGUGUAGCUUACUCGCUUAUGCUAUUUUACCUACGCUUAGGAUGUUGAUAGUCACAGCGUGUAC